CCUUUCCUUUGUUUUGUGAAUCGUUUUGACUUACUUUUUACCUUGGAAUUUUCUUCUUUCUCCUUUCUUGCUUGAUGAGUUACUAUACUUCAGAGCUCUAGCAAUUCAACUUAGCUUGAAUGCAUCAACUUUCUCACUCCUCUAAUCCUCUCUCAGCUUUCUCGCUUUCUCUCUCUUGCAUUUCUCUUACCUGGAAGGCUAUGGAGAUGAAGCAUGCUUUGCCAACAAGAGCUUCAAAAGUUUUGCCAACAAGAACUUCAAAAGUUUUGCCAACCAGAGCUUUGAAAGUUUUUUUUGUUUUUUUUUUUUUAUGGGUAAAUUUUGAUUUAAUUAAGUACCAACUAAUUUUGUGGAUUUUCAAUUAAUUUAUCUAAUGUGAAAACCCUAAUUUCAGGGAAAAAUAUUCCUAAAGAAGAAAUGGAGAGAAGAUGAGACUUCAAAUACAAUAUGGCAUGGUUAAGAAGGAAUAUCAUUUACUUCGAUUAACUGAAUUUUGAUCUUAUUAUAUAAUCCUAUAGAAUUUAUGUUAUCAUAUAAUUAAUUUACAUUUCACUAUUUGUAAAAUAGACCGAGAAGGCCUUGAAGCAGCAAAGUGUUUCUGAGCUUGAAGAAAAUUGGAAAGGGAAAGCGACCUGGGAAAGGAGGAACAGGUUUUGGAAGAGCAUUAGUUUGGAAUUCAAGACUCCCAGAUAAGCUAUUUAAGACCCUUUUCUAGGUGGACAAUUGAGUCUGAUGAGGAGAGAGAAAGAAGAGAAUGAUACUAUAAAAUAGCGCAACACAAUAGUGGGAUAUAUGAUUGAAAUCUACCGGUCUUUGGUUAAUAAAGCUGAUAAGAAAUUCGCUAAGAUCAGAGAUUUCCUUCUUUAUGAACGCAAUAGGGAAGGACCGUUGUUUGUCAAGGCAGAGGCGAAUUGUUGUGUUAGAGCUGGUGGGAAUAGUUGGUGCUGAUCCCAUGUUGCUAAAGAACCUUGUUUAUGAUGUUCCUUUUGUUGAAAAUAUCAUUAAGACUCCUACUUUCAUUGGUUCAGUUUUUAGGAUCUCCAUCUGAGAAGGGUAUCAAUCAGGGAACAUUAGUAAUCUUUAAUUUGGAUCCAUCGGUUUCAACUUUCAAAUGAGGAACUGCGUCUAAUAUUUGGGGCUUGUAGAGAGGUCAAAGAGAUAUGAGAUCACAACUCAGGAUGGAUGAGAGAUCAUAAAGAAUCUAGGAGAUUAGAUCGAUGUUGGCUAUCGUGAAAAUGAUAUGAGGUAAUAUGAUCAAUAGCUACAACUGAGAUGCUGCUUUUGAAUUAAAAUUUGCAUCAAAGCACAAUUUAAUGUCUAUCAGACAUGAAAUGGCUUACACUAGCAGGUGCUCAGUUGCUUGUGCGACAUCAAGAUAUAUAUAGCUCACCAUGUUGUUUUUUAGUGUAUACAUCAAAUUGAUGUACAUUACAUUAAGGUUUAUCGCCACAAAUGUUGUAGCUACACUUUUUUUUGGAUGUAUACUUGUAUUAUAAUUUUGUUUUACUAUUAUAUUCAAGAUAACUGAGCUUGAUUUUAACUAGUUUUACAAGCCCUUUUGCUACUAAUUUACACAAUAAUACAUUAAUACACUUAAGAUUACACGUAUUAGUUGCAUAUCAUAGCAAGCUCUAAAUUAUGGUUAUAUAUGCAAUAAAGAGACAUUGAUAGUUUGAUACUGUUUAGUGUAAAAAUUACUAUAAACAUUGCAAAUUUACAAAAAAAAAAAAAAAUAUAGUGAGAGAGAAAAAAAAGUAUAUCCAUAAAUUUUCAAAGCCAUUUAAUAAAGGGAACGAAGAGAUUAUGAUUUAGGAGUUAAAAAAAAAAGAGCGAGUGAAUGAGGUUGGGGCAAUAGAGUAAGGAAUGAGUUAGAGGGGGAACAAGUGUGACUUAUAAUUUCAAACCCUUAGGGCAACAGAGGAAGGGUGAGGUAGGGAGUAGUAGAAAAAAAACCAUUUUUUAGUGUUUAAUUGUGGAAGAGACAUAUUGUCCAUGAAGGAGGGAAUGGAGAGAAAUUAGUGAAAUUAAUCAACAAAUUUAUGUGUUUGUCAUGAAAAAAACAAACUUAUUAAUAAUCUCUUUAGAAUAAAAUUUUUUAACCUUAUGGUAUAAUAGUUUUAAAUUGUUAACUAAUUGCUUCUUUUAUGUUUCUAUAACCAAUUAGCCAUAAUAGAUUAUAUCAAUGAAAAGAUAGAUAGGUUUUUAUACUUGUGAAACCAUAAGAAAGAGGUUUAUAUGCAAGCAUGAAUUAACUAUGAACAUCACAAAUUUAUAAAUGUAUAUAAAUAUUUAUAUGAGAGAGAGAGAGUUAUCACUUUUAAGAGGUCAUGUGUUCAGUUAAAUUUUGAUGAAAUAUAACACUUAAAAGGUUACUAAAGAAGGUAAACGGUUUGUAUAAUCACUAUAACAUAAAAUUACAUACGUAGUAUUAAUCAUUUUAGAAAAAAAGGUAACAUUCUGACCAUGAGGCUAAAGAAAGCCAUUAUUCCUACUUGACAUACGACUUAGCAAGUUAGCAUAUAUGGUGUACAAAAUGUCGCUCAAUUCGUUUAUUUGUUAUUGACAAUGCUUAUUAUUCUACAUUAACAACGUGACAUGUGCAAAUAAUUUUGUUUGAGAUAUUUGCUUACUAAGCUACACGUACUAUACAUUCAUUACACGGUGCAGUUGUAACCCAUCAUACCGUAUACCAAUAGUAUAAGGUAGAUACACCACCUUAAUGUUACAUCAUAUGUAUUUGGCCAUAUGUUUUUUUAUGCAAGAAUAAGAUAACAAGAAGAUAACAUAUGAACAAGAUACACACUUUAGAAACCCCUGUUCUUAUCCUUCACCGCUUCCACCGCCCCUCUCUUUCUCAUCCCCUGCUCGCCGGCGACAGGGCUAGUUUUGCCUAGCCGUCGCCGGCGAGCCUAGUAUGUUUGUCUUUUCCUUUUUCUAGUGGUUUAUAUUGCUUUUUAGGGUCCGUAGGUGAAGACUUCAGGGGAGCGCCGAGCAUCUUCUUCGGUGGGUUUGUGGCUUUUUGGUAUUUCGUCAAGUGUUGCGGCUUAUUUCAACUACAUAGGAACCAAAGGCUACUCUUAACGCCGUCGUCGAAAGGAAUUUUGUUAAAUAAUUCCCGACGGUAAAGGUGAAGUUAAGGAUAGGGUUUCCUCGUGUAACCAAGUUAGGUUCAACGAGGGGUUCUUGCUGCGUAGCCGUUGACGAUUUUGUGGUGUUAGUUUUGGUUGCUUCCUGUGAGAUGCUAGGAAUGAGCACUGGAGUGCUGUGUUAAAAAUCAAAGAAGGAGAAAAACUUUGCAGAUAUAGCAGUGGAAGUUUUAAUAAAGCUGAGUUAAACUAUCCUACAAUGCAAAAGGAAAUCCUUGCAGUUAUUAGAGGGAUAGAGAAGUUCUUAAUCUUCUUAGCCCCUAAAUAGUUCUUAAUAAGAACAUAUUGCAAAGGCAUACUCGGUUUUGUAAAAAAGAAUUUGUCUAACAUGCAAGCGCAAGGGAGACUCCUACGUUGGCAAUUAUGGCUUAACCAAUUCUCCUUUACUGUUGAACAUAUACAGAGAACAAAGAAUUCUUUGGCAGACAACUUGACCAAAGAGUUAGCUAAUGUCGUCCAAGAAGCUCAAGACUACACAAAAACCUCCUACAUACCAACUUCAAAAGAUGGAUGUAGAGAGGAAAACACUCAUUGAUGAGAUCGAAAAGGCAAUGGAGCGGGUUUCACCCUCCAGUUGGGCCUUAAUGCAAGGCUUGAUCAUAUCAGCGAAACAACGUUCACGAGAUGGUUUAAUUAAGGGUUGCCAUCGGGCAGUCCAAAGAUUAUUGAUGUUCGAAGUAAUAAUUAUGUUAUUUCAGCUCAUUCCUGAUUUACGAAACACAAUAUUAAACAAAUUAAAUAAGAGAUAAUGAUUUUAGAACCUAGUACGAGUUGGUGGCAACAAGGUCCAGUAAAUUCUUUGAUCUUCAAGAUCUAUAGGGAGAAAGAAUAAAGUUUCCUAAAAACUCUAAAGUUGCAUCAUUGUGUUUCUACCCAUAUCCUCUUAAUCAAAAUGCUCCAUUCAUUAGUAUA